ACAGUGGUGGUUCAGUGGUAGAAUUCUAGCCUUGCAUGUGGGAGACCCAGGUUUGAUUCCCAGCCAAUGCA
rnacentral:tRNA from 1 species